GACGAACGCUGGCGGCGUGCCUAAUACAUGCAAGUAGAACGCUGAAGGAGGAGCUUGCUUCUCUGGAUGAGUUGCGAACGGGUGAGUAACGCGUAGGUAACCUGCCUGGUAGCGGGGGAUAACUAUUGGAAACGAUAGCUAAUACCGCAUAAGAGUAGAUGUUGCAUGACAUUUGCUUAAAAGGUGCAAUUGCAUCACUACCAGAUGGACCUGCGUUGUAUUAGCUAGUUGGUGGGGUAACGGCUCACCAAGGCGACGAUACAUAGCCGACCUGAGAGGGUGAUCGGCCACACUGGGACUGAGACACGGCCCAGACUCCUACGGGAGGCAGCAGUAGGGAAUCUUCGGCAAUGGACGGAAGUCUGACCGAGCAACGCCGCGUGAGUGAAGAAGGUUUUCGGAUCGUAAAGCUCUGUUGUAAGAGAAGAACGAGUGUGAGAGUGGAAAGUUCACACUGUGACGGUAACUUACCAGAAAGGGACGGCUAACUACGUG
rnacentral:rRNA from 1 species